UUUCCGGUUGAUCCCGCCGGACCUGACUGCUAUCGGAUUGAUACUAAGCCAUGCGAGUCUUUGCAGUAAUGCAAGGCAUACGGCUCAGUAACACGUAGUCAACUUACCCUAUGGACGAGGAUAAUCUCGGGAAACUGAGCAUAAUACUCGAUAGAUCAUAAUGCCUGGAAUGGUUUAUGGUUGAAAUGAUUCGUCGCCAUAGGAUGGGACUGCGGCCUAUCAGCUUGUUGGUGAGGUAAUGGCCCACCAAGGCGAUUACAGGUACGGGCUCUGAGAGGAGAAGCCCGGAGAUGGGUACUGAGACAAGGACCCAGGCCCUAUGGGGCGCAGCAGGCGAGAAAACUUUGCAAUGUGCGAAAGCACGACAAGGUUAAUCCGAGUGAUUUCUGCUAAAGAAAUCUUUUGCAAGUCAUAAAACCACUAGUGAAUAAGGGGUGGGCAAGUUCUGGUGUCAGCCGCCGCGGUAAAACCAGCACCUCAAGUGGUCAGGAGGAUUAUUGGGCCUAAAGCAUCCGUAGCCGGCUCUGUAAGUUUUCGGUUAAAUCCAUGUGCUCAACGCAUGGGCUGCCGAAAAUACUGCAUAGCUAGGGAGUGGGAGAGGUAGACGGUACUCGGUAGGAAGGGGUAAAAUCCUUUGAUCUAUCGAUGACCACCUGUGGCGAAGGCGGUCUACCAGAACACGUUCGACGGUGAGGGAUGAAAGCUGGGGGAGCAAACCGGAUUAGAUACCCGGGUAGUCCCAGCUGUAAACGAUGCAGACUCGAUGAUGCAUUGGCAUAUAGCCAGUGCAGUGUCGCAGGGAAGCCGUUAAGUCUGCCGCCUGGGAAGUACGUACGCAAGUAUGAAACUUAAAGGAAUUGGCGGGGGAGCACCACAAGGGGUGAAGCCUGCGGUUCAAUUGGAUUCAACGCCGGG
rnacentral:rRNA from 1 species